CCGAGUUUUCUACUCCCAAACCCCUGUGAACUUAUACCUUUACUGUUGCUUCGGCGGGUUAACGCCCCGGAAGGCCCAGCCCCCGAGAGGGGGGGAAGCCGCCGGAACCAGGCGCCCGCCGGGGGACCCAAACUCUUUGUAUUUCUUACUUUGCAUGUCUGAGUGGAAUCAUAAACAAAUGAAUCA
rnacentral:misc_RNA from 1 species